rnacentral:siRNA from 1 species
UUGAUAUUAUCUAUAUUGUUUAGU